CAGUAGCCGCGGGAACACGAAGGGUGCAAGCGUUGAUCGGAAUUACUGGGCGUAAAGCGUGCGUAGGCGGUGAGUUAAGUCUGCUGUGAAAUCCCCGGGCUCAACCUGGGAAUGGCAGUGGAUACUGGCUCGCUAGAGUGUGUCAGAGGAUGGUGGAAUUCCCGGUGUGGCGGUGAAAUGCGUAGAGAUCGGGAGGAACAUCAGUGGCGAAGGCGGCCAUCUGGGACAACACUGACGCUGAGGCACGAAAGCGUGGGGAGCAAACAGGAUUAGAUACCCCAGUAGUCCCUGUCUCUUAUAC
rnacentral:rRNA from 1 species